rnacentral:lncRNA from 1 species
CACUGCAGAGGCGAAAGGUGGCUGCCUGUGUCGGCAAGCAAACGCACAUCCUGUCACUGGUGGAGAAGAGGGCCUUGCUGUUUUCCACACCCAUUCCAGACUUGCAAGAAAGAAAGUCUCCUCAGAAACUGGAAGGGAUCCAGAAGACAUGGGCAAACCUGCAGGUCUUUCUUGAGAGAGAACUGUGUUCUUUCAUUUCUCAGAUCUAUUGAAGCCUUGAGAAGAUUAAUUGAGGGACUGCUUGCCUCGGAGGCAUUUCAGGGAGGCAGGCUCAGUCCUGGAUCAGCAAUGUUCCAGGCUCUCUGGAGAGACAUACAUUAUACCCACCUGGGAACCUCGUGGGUAAAAUCCCCCCAACCACAGCUGCUGACCUGGGGCUUUGUGGAUCCUCUCAACACUUUUGGGCCUAAGAAACACAGUAACCAAAGCUCUGGGUAAACCCUUCCUUUCCUGUGAUGUCUUCGUAAUAAACUCGGGUGAA